rnacentral:rRNA from 1 species
UGAGGAAUAUUGGUCAAUGGACGCAAGUCUGAACCAGCCAAGUAGCGUGCAGGAUGACGGCCCUAUGGGUUGUAAACUGCUUUUAUAUGGGGAUAAAGUGGGGAACGUGUUCCCUUUUGCAGGUACCAUAUGAAUAAGGACCGGCUAAUUCCGUGCCAGCAGCCGCGGUAAUACGGAAGGUUCGGGCGCUAUCCGGAUUUAUUGGGUUUAAAGGGAGCGUAGGCCGUUUGGUAAGCGUGUUGUGAAAUGUAGGAGCUCAACUUCUAGAUUGCAGCGCGAACUGUCAGACUUGAGUGCGCACAACGUAGGCGGAAUUCAUGGUGUAGCGGUGAAAUGCUUAGAUAUCAUGAAGAACUCCGAUUGCGAAGGCAGCUUACGGGAGCGCAACUGACGCUGAAGCUCGAAGGUGCGGGUAUCGAACAGG